UUAUAACGAGGGAGAAUGAGCGAAACCCGUUACUGAAACCCGUACCCGCGUUCCAGACCCGGUUCUGGCAAUGGGUCAACCCGCCAGAGGUUGAAGAUGAACAGUAGAGGUUUGCGAAGCCCACUCUCGGGAUGGAGAGAGUGAUGGAGCGUGAUCACGAAUGGAUGGUUCGAUUUUGAUUCCGUUUUUUGCGGUGUUCACGUAAUCAUGUUUUUGAUGUUUCUAUAUAUUUUUCAAUAUUUUCUCCGCUGCGUAAAUAAUUUAUAUGAAUUAUUUCAUGAUGAUAUAAUUGUUUGAUCAUGUAUACAAUUUUUAUAA
rnacentral:lncRNA from 1 species